UUGUUUUACACAUAACAUAUAUAUUAAGCUAAGUGUGGAAGUAAGAGAGAUCCAUUGAAAUGUGUUUACUACCCUUGACUUAAGUGACAUAUACCUUGGUACUUGUUCACUAAGGAGCCUCUUAUAAGUGUUAUAACUACAACCACUUCUCAAUUAUUCUCAUUUUUUCCACUAAGGUCAUCCUCAAAGGGAGCAUUAGCUUUGGAAGCAAAC
rnacentral:lncRNA from 1 species